GCCUUGCCAACAUUACUUGUAUGCUUGUUCAAUGCUAUUCUGCGAUUUACAGCACCAUCGGCCGACCUCGACCAAACCGGGUGCCGGUUGGGACCCGCCACCAACCCCGCCCUAGCGGACAUGUCUGAGCACACCCGCCCAACUCAAAUACUCCGCCUGGCCCCGCCGGCCUUGCCAACAUUACUUGUAUGCUUGUUCAAUGCUAUUCUGCGAUAUACAGCACCAUCGGCCGACCUCGACCAAACCGGGUGCCGGCUGGGACCCGCCACAACCCCGCCCUAGCGGACAUGUCUGAGCACACCCGCCCAACUCAAAUACUCCGCCUGGCCCCGCCGGCCUUGCCAACAUUACUUGUAUGCUUGUUCAAUGCUAUUCUGCGAUUUACAGCACCAUCGGCCGACCUCGACCAAACCGGGUGCCGGUUGGGACCCGCCACCAACCCCGCCCUAGCUCCCUGGCAGUGCACGGGGGCCAUACCUUGCGCCUGGGUGGGCAUGUGGAGAUGUUUGCCGGGUCCGCAUUUCGUUAGGAUUCGGGCUACCCCCACUUCAAGGCAGCUUUUGUGAGGUCACUUGGGACCAACUAUAUGAUGAUAGGCAAAUGGAGGAACCG
rnacentral:lncRNA from 1 species